rnacentral:rRNA from 1 species
UGGGGAAUAUUGGACAAUGGACCAAGAGUCUGAUCCAGCAAUUCCGUGUGCACGAUGACGUUUUUCGGAAUGUAAAGUGCUUUCAGUUGGGAAGAAAAAAAUGACGGUACCAACAGAAGAAGUGACGGCUAAAUACGUGCCAGCAGCCGCGGUAAUACGUAUGUCACGAGCGUUAUCCGGAUUUAUUGGACGUAAAGCGCGUCUAGGUGGUUAUGUAAGUCUGAUGUGAAAAUGCAGGGCUCAACUCUGUAUUGCGUUGGAAACUGUGUAACUAGAGUACUGGAGAGGUAAGCGGAACUACAAGUGUAGAGGUGAAAUUCGUAGAUAUUUGUAGGAAUGCCGAUGGGGAAGCCAGCUUACUGGACAGAUACUGACGCUGAAGCGCGAAAGCGUGGGUAGCAAACAGGAUUAGAUACCCUGGUAGUCCACGCCGUAAACGAUGAUUACUAGGUGUUGGGGGUCGAACCUCAGCGCCCAAGCAAACGCGAUAAGUAAUCCGCCUGGGGAGUACGUACGCAAGUAUG